UAUAUAUAUAUAUAUAUAUAUUGAAAUAAAUGAAAAGCUACGUCUGUAAUUUAUCUUCACAUUUCUAAAAUUACUUAUUCAUAUUGGGGCACCAUGGAUCGUUCGUUGUGUGGAUAUGAGCCUGGACAACCUUGGAGUGCUCCCCUCUUCCACUUUGAGUUUCAUCCAUCCUAUCUUCAUCCAUCAUGAACACCACCAGUCUUCAUGACCAGAUGGAGAGCACUCAUUGUCACCACCAUCCAAGCCGAGUAACAAAUGAUGAUGUGUUGGGGCCACUGACCCCAGGGCACGAAGGAGUUGAUACUGAGGAGUGUGGUGAUACCUGGGGGAGACGAGGUUGAGGUCGGGAUGGUGAGGGUGGGUGUUGCAGUCGGGGAGUGGGAUCAAAGGGAAGAGACAGAGCGGCACUUUUGAGGGGGGGAAUGGGAUAUCACAAUUGAGUGGACUGGCACCUAAUCCUCUUUUGCCUUCCUUUAUUACAACUGGCUCUCUCUCUCUCGCUCUCUCUGGGCCCAGCCAGCUCUAUACAAGCAGGCUGCGCUCCCCCCAGUUCCCAAAAAGCUGUCGCUUAAAGCUACAAGCGAGGUCCCCAUGAAUGCUUCCCCUCUUUAUGAUCUCAUGCCUGGAUGGAUGAAUGGAAGAACGGAUGAACAGAGGAUGAG
rnacentral:lncRNA from 1 species